AGGCGUCCGGCGUGCUCCUCCCUCCCUGCAGCCCCGGGCAGCAGCUCCCAGAGGCUCCGCGGCCCAGGCUCCUGGUGCGUCUGCAGUGCAGGUGGCUCCUGGAAGACCCUCAGCCUGCCUGCUGAGGCCAUGUCGGACUACGAGAAUGAUGACGAGUGCUGGAGCGCCCUGGAGGGCUUCCGGGUGACGCUUACCUCGGUCAUCGACCCCUCGCGCAUCACACCCUACCUGCGGCAGUGCAAGGUCCUGAACCCCGAUGAUGAGGAGCAGGUGCUCAGCGACCCCAACCUGGUCAUCCGCAAACGGAAAGUGGGUGUGCUCCUGGACAUCCUGCAGCGGACCGGCCACAAGGGCUACGUGGCCUUCCUCGAGAGCCUGGAGCUCUACUACCCGCAGCUGUACAAGAAGGUCACGGGCAAGGAGCCGGCCCGCGUCUUCUCCAUGAUCAUCGACGCAUCCGGGGAGUCAGGCCUGACUCAGCUGCUGAUGACUGAGGUCAUGAAGCUGCAGAAGAAGGUGCAGGACCUGACCGCGCUGCUGAGCUCCAAGGAUGACUUCAUCAAGGAGCUGCGGGUGAAGGACAGCCUGCUGCGCAAGCACCAGGAGCGCGUGCAGAGGCUCAAGGAGGAGUGCGAGGCCGGCAGCCGCGAGCUCAAGCGCUGCAAGGAGGAGAACUACGACCUGGCCAUGCGCCUGGCGCACCAGAGUGAGGAGAAGGGUGCCGCGCUCAUGCGGAACCGUGACCUGCAGCUGGAGAUUGACCGGCUCAAGCACAGCCUCAUGAAGGCCGAGGAUGACUGCAAGGUGGAGCGCAAGCACACGCUGAAGCUCAGGCACGCCAUGGAGCAGCGGCCCAGCCAGGAGCUGCUGUGGGAGCUGCAGCAGGAGAAGGCCCUGCUCCAGGCCCGGGUGCAGGAGCUGGAGGCCUCCGUCCAGGAGGGGAAGCUGGACAGGAGCAGCCCCUACAUCCAGGUACUGGAGGAGGACUGGCGGCAGGCGCUGCGGGACCACCAGGAGCAGGCCAACACCAUCUUCUCCCUGCGCAAGGACCUCCGCCAGGGCGAGGCCCGACGCCUCCGGUGCAUGGAGGAGAAGGAGAUGUUCGAGCUGCAGUGCCUGGCACUACGUAAGGACUCCAAGAUGUACAAGGACCGCAUCGAGGCCAUCCUGCUGCAGAUGGAGGAGGUCGCCAUUGAGCGGGACCAGAGCACACAAACGGAGGGGCUGUGACCAGCCUCCGCGCCCAGCGGCUUGACGUCCUCCGGAGCCUCUGCUAGGAGUUGGGCGGCCGGGCCGAGGGCCCAGGGCGAGCUUGGGGCCCUCACUGAGGGUCGGCCUUGUGCUGUCCCGUCAGGCCAUAGCCACGCGGGAGGAGCUGCACGCGCAGCACGCCCGGGGCCUGCAGGAGAAGGACGCGCUGCGCAAGCAGGUGCGGGAGCUGGGCGAGAAGGCGGAUGAGCUGCAGCUGCAGGUGUUCCAGUGUGAGGCGCAGCUACUGGCCGUGGAGGGCAGGCUCAGGCGGCAGCAGCUGGAGACGCUCGUCCUGAGCUCCGACCUGGAAGAUGGCUCACCCAGGAGCUCCCAGGAGCUCUCACUCCCCCAGGACCUGGAGGACACCCAGCUCUCAGACAAAGGCUGCCUUGCCGGCGGGGGGAGCCCGAAACAGCCCUUUGCAGCUCUGCACCAGGAGCAGGUUUUGCGGAUCCCCCAUGUAAGGCUUCCCCGGGGUGGGGUCCUCCCAGCCGUGGGCCUCAGGGUGACCGAUCACAGGGAGAGUGGCUCCCUGCCCUGGGCACCCCCUGCCGUGGCCCCGACGACAGCUGAGGAGUGACCGCAAGGUCUCUGCCCACAGUGCUCGGGGUGCGGUGUCUGGGCUGCGAAGUGGAUCCCCCUCCUUUCUUGGGCACUGCAGCAGCUUGGGGGGCUUUUUGGAAGUGGAUGUGCCUGGUCCUGGUUUCCUGAGGGCCUUUACAGUGGAUGAGGAGGUGAACACAGGAGUCCUGAGAGCAAGGACCACCUCGGGCUUUGUUGUAGAAACAAUGGCCUGGAGCCCAGGCCGGAGCCGUGGCUUGGCCUCCUGGGUGUGUCUUGGCAUCUGAAAUGCAGGCUACCCACACCGGCUCACCUCCAGGGGUACAGGCAGGUCCCACAGGGAGAGCUUGGCGCUGAGCUGAGGCUGUCUGGGCUCCUCGCCUCCCAACCAGUCUGCAGUUACAGGGGCCAGUGGGGGGCGCGUGAGAAGGGCGGGUUCCCUCAGGGGAGCCGGCCGGAGCCCGAGCCUUCCCCCUUCUCCAGGACGCAGGCCUGAGCAGCGGGGAGCCGCCCGAGAAGGAGCGGCGGCGCCUCAAAGAGAGUUUCGAGAACUACCGCAGGAAGCGCGCCCUCAGGAAGAUGCAGAAAGGAUGGCGGCAGGGGGAGGAGGACCGGGAGAACACCACGGGCAGCGACAACACCGACACUGAGGGCUCCUAGCCGCAGCAGCGCAGGCCCCGACCAGGGCACACCCACCGGCCCGGCCUCCUGCCACCCGGGGGUGCCGACGCCCUGGGGCGCAGACUUCCCCGAGCCGUCGCUGACAGCCUGGAACGAGGAAUCUGGUGCCCUGAAAGGCCCAGCCGGACUGCCGGGCAUUGGGGCUGUUUGUUAAGCGGCACUCAGCUUGCGGAGGCCAUGCGGGUGCUCGCCACCCCCAUGCACACGCCAUCUGUGUAACUUCAGGGUCUGUUCUGUUUCACCAUGUAACACACAAUACAUGCAUGCAUUGUAUUACUGUUAGAAAACACAGCUGCGUAAAUAAACAAACAGCAGGGGUGACUCGCAUUCCCGCUCGGACACUCGCGCGCAGCCCCGCGGCCGUCCCUCCUCGCUGCGGCCCGCGGUGUCCUCGGGGUGCGAGCUGCACGUGGACGCAGGGCCCCAUCAGGCCACCAGGGGGCGACAGAGCGCAGCGCGCCCCCGACCCGGAGGACGGAAGCCCAAGAACGCCGCUUCCGCCCGGUGUCCAUUUCCAAGAUGGCGGCGGGGCGGGGCCAGGGCAGGGCGGACGGAGUCGGCGAGCGGGAUGCUGCGGGCUGCGCUGCGCGGCGCGCCGAGGUUGCUGAGUCGCGUGCAGCCCCGGGCGCCCUGCCUGAGGCGGCUGUGGGGCCGCGGGGCCCGUCCGGAGGUCGCGGGGAGGCGGCGGGCCUGGGCCUGGGGCUGGCGGCGCUCAAGCUCCGAGCAGGGGCCGGGGCCCGCGGCGGCUCUGGGGCGCGUGGAGGCGGCGCACUACCAGCUCGUCUACACCUGCAAGGUAGGCGCGCGGCGGGACGGAACCGGGGACAGACCCGUAUCUGACGCUACACGGCCUGCGGGGAGAAGCGGCCCGCCGGGGAUCCGGGAGGGGGCGUGGUCAAGUCACAGGAAGGAGUGGAGCCACCCCUUGGGGCUUCUGGGAGGGAGCGGAGGCGGACCAUGAGGAGGGGUGGAGCCGUCCCUGGGGCGGGGCCUUCCCGGGAGAGGGCGAGGUUGGGGGGUGGGUGGAGCUAUCCCUCGGGGGCGGGGCCUUCUCUGGAGAGGGUGAGGUGGGUGGAGCUACCCCUAGAGGGGCGGGUCUUCCAGGGAGGGGCGUGGCGGCCCUCACAGCCUCACCAGCUACCCUGUCCCAGCCAGGUCUGCGGGAGUAGGUCCUCCAAGCGCAUCUCCAAGCUGGCCUAUCACCAAGGCGUGGUCAUUGUGACCUGCCCCGGCUGCCAGAACCACCAUAUCAUCGCGGACAACCUGGGCUGGUUCUCGGACCUGAAUGGGAAGAGAAAUAUCGAAGAGAUCCUGGCGGCCAGAGGCGAGCAGGUGCACCGUGUGGCGGGCGAGGGGGCCCUGGAACUGGUUCUGGAGGCUGCAGGGGCCCCCACAUCCACUGCAGCUCCAGAAGCGGGUGAGGAUGAGGGUCCCCCCAGCCCUGGCAAGACGGAGCCGAGCUGACUCCUGCGCUCCCCGGCACUGUGGGACUUCGGCCUUCCAGAAGGUUUUGGCCCUGGGCCUCUCUGGACGUGGCCUGUUUUCUAUCAAUAAACAGACAUUACUUCCA
rnacentral:sRNA from 1 species